CGGCGACUGGUCUCCUGUCAUCGAUCCUGGAUCUUUGGGCUCCGUGAAGGAAGGCGCUGCUGAAGGGAACUCUGCUCACGGUUCUCUUAACGGCUUGGACCCCGACAGCAGAGCGGGGAGUGCUUCAGUCUACGCGUCGCACAGCUUAUUUGUACACAGUAAGACCAGCCAAAGAAGGACGGUGUGCCCUCCGAGCUCCUCAGCUGCCUCUGGUCCUCCUCCAGCCUCCAAGGGCAGCGGCCUCACUGCUGGAGAUGAAGGUGCUGUGGAAUCAUCUCCUCCCAGCCGGGCCCUUCC
ensembl:lncRNA